rnacentral:rRNA from 1 species
CCUACGGGGCGCAGCAGUGAGGAAUAUUGGUCAAUGGGCGAAAGCCUGAACCAGCCAAGUCGCGUGAGGGAGUACUGCCCUAUGGGUUGUAAACCUCUUUUGUCGGGGAGCAAAAGCCGGACGUGUCCGGCUGUGAGAGUACCCGAAGAUAAAGCAUCGGCUAACUCCGUGCCAGCAGCCGCGGUAAUACGGAGGAUGCGAGCGUUAUCCGGGUUUAUUGGGGUUAAAGGGUGCGCAGGCGGAUUUUUAAGUCAGCGGUCAAAUCGUGGGGCUCAACCCCAUCCAGCCGUUGAAACUGGGGAUCUAGAGUGUGCGAGAGGUAUGCGGAAUGCGUGGUGUAGCGGUGAAAUGCAUAGAUAUCACGCAGAACCCCGAUUGCGAAGGCAGCAUACCGGUGCACAACUGACGCUCAGGCACGAAAGCGUGGGUAUCGAACAGGAUUAGAUACCCUUGUAGUC